GAGACAGCAGUAGCCGCGGGAACACGAAGGGUGCAAGCGUUAAUCGGAAUUACUGGGCGUAAAGCGUGCGUAGGCGGUUUGUUAAGUCUGCUGUGAAAUCCCCGGGCUCAACCUGGAAUGGCAGUGGAUACUGGCAAGCUAGAGUGUGUCAGAGGAUGGUGGAAUUCCCGGUGUAGCGGUGAAAUGCGUAGAGAUCGGGAGGAACAUCAGUGGCGAAGGCGGCCAUCUGGGACAACACUGACGCUGAGGCACGAAAGCGUGGGGAGCAAACAGGAUUAGAUACCCCGGUAGUCCCUGUCUCUUAUAAA
rnacentral:rRNA from 1 species